CUGAAAGGCUGGAUUUACUCUGAUUCAAAGGAAGUAUACAGAUGGGGUUCUUAGCUCAUGAAAGUUAGUAGCUACUACUAUGGUUCAGCUGCAAAGAGUGCACCUGUGAUACCAGCUCCUAGCAAUCCAACACCAAUAAUCUUGAUUCUGCAAAUUUUCACUUCCAAGAAGUUUACAAAACACAUCUGUAAUAUUUAAAGAAAGAAAAAAUAUUUCCUGGAACUUUCACCUUUAGUGAGUUAGAAGAAUGCCAUUUGAAGUAAAUAGAGAUUCAUUGUUUCUCUGUAUUUCUCAAAGAAUCAGUAGAGAUAUUGAGAGGAAAAAGUUCUUUCUCAUAUAAAUUUGGAAUAUUGGAAAGAAAUUACUGGAAGAAAAGAAAAUAUUAGAAACAUGGGUAGUGAUGAAGCAAAGAAUCUGAAAUGCUUCACUCAAAACCUCUUGAACUGUGGAAACGAUGGGGAAGAGAGUAUGUCAAAUGAGAU